rnacentral:ncRNA from 1 species
CCUGCUGUUCCGUCAGCAGUAGCUUGGAACACAUGCAUCACCAGCAAUGAGGUUGUGUGAAGCUGUUCAACAAAGAACCCGCCGCAAGGGAAGAAGAACCGUGAGGGGAAUCAACUGCCGCCAGCAUCAGGUGGCUAAGGG